rnacentral:lncRNA from 1 species
AAGACGUAACCUAUCUUAUUAAGGUCCCAUUCCCCAUUAUGAAUGAUAUCGCUAAUCGUCAACUUCUCAUCCUUCAAGGACAAGGGGGUAUAGAUUAUGCGCGACAGAGGUUGACAAUUUGGGAUCCAAUUAUCGUGCCAUAAGCUUACCUUGUUUCCGCUGAUAAUGUCCUAGCGGAGACAUUUUUUGCAAAUUUUUCAAGCCUCAACUAUACUUUUCCAGGUACUACUGCU